rnacentral:rRNA from 1 species
UACGAAGGGGGGCUAGCGUUGCUCGGAAUCACUGGGCGUAAAGGGUGCGUAGGCGGGUCUUUAAGUCAGGGGUGAAAUCCUGGAGCUCAACUCCAGAACUGCCUUUGAUACUGAAGAUCUUGAGUUCGGGAGAGGUGAGUGGAACUGGCGAGUGUAGAGGUGAAAUUCGUAGAUAUUCGCAAGAACACCAGUGGCGAAGGCGGCUCACUGGCCCGAUACUGACGCUGAGGCACGAAAGCGUGGGGAGCAAACAGGG